rnacentral:rRNA from 1 species
GACGAACGCUGGCGGCGUGCUUAACACAUGCAAGUCGAACGAAAAGAGGGAAAGAGCUUGCUCUUUCCGGAAUUGAGUGGCAAACGGGUGAGUAACACGUAAACAACCUGCCUUCAGGAUGGGGACAACAGACGGAAACGACUGCUAAUACCGAAUAAGUUCCAAGAGCCGCAUGGCCCAUGGAAGAAAAGGUGGCCUCUACCUGUAAGCUAUCGCCUGAAGAGGGGUUUGCGUCUGAUUAGCUGGUUGGAGGGGUAACGGCCCACCAAGGCGACGAUCAGUAGCCGGUCUGAGAGGAUGAACGGCCACACUGGAACUGAGACACGGUCCAGACUCCUACGGGAGGCAGCAGUGGGGAAUCUUCCGCAAUGGGCGAAAGCCUGACGGAGCAACGCCGCGUGAGUGAUGACGGCCUUCGGGUUGUAAAACUCUGUGAUCCGGGACGAAAAGGCAGAGUGCGAAGAACAAACUGCAUUGACGGUACCGGAAAAGCAAGCCACGGCUAACUACGUGCCAGCAGCCGCGAUAAUACGUAGGUGGCAAGCGUUGUCCGGAAUUAUUGGGCGUAAAGCGCGCGCAGGCGGCUUCCCAAGUCCCUCUUAAAAGUGCGGGGCUUAACCCCGUGAUGGGAAGGAAACUGGGAAGCUGGAGUAUCGGAGAGGAAAGUGGAAUUCCUAGUGUAGCGGUGAAAUGCGUAGAGAUUAGGAAGAACACCGGUGGCGAAGGCGACUUUCUGGACGAAAACUGACGCUGAGGCGCGAAAGCGCGGGGAGCAAACAGGAUUAGAUACCCUGGUAGUCCACGCCGUAAACG